CAGGAGCGCAUGCGCGAGCGUGGAGGGUGGGGCCCCAGCGGCCGUCCGGCGGGGGCGGGGCCUGUCAUGGCGGCCUCGAGAGUCAAUUCCAGGAACCCUGAGGAUGAACUGACCCUUUUAUUCACUAUUCCACAUCGAGCUGCAAACCCAUCAGAUGGAACCAUGUGAUCAUUGUGGCCACCAGCUGACCCCACAGCCACCUUGUGCCUCCCUUGGACCCACCCAGGAAUUUCUGAGCCUUCUUUAUGGUGAGAAGAAUAAACUGCAAUAUAUUUAAGCCACUGCCGUAUACUUUCCUGUAUUCUUGGUAAAGAAUGACCCACCUGGAAAUGGCAUUUCGAGGUGCAGACCCCAAUAUUUAAAAUUGGCUGAAUGGGGGUAGAAGAGAAUAUUCAGUUCUUCCAGGCAAGAAAAUUAGACAUCUUUAUUACAAGGUGAUGAAAAUGUGUGAUCAACAGAACCAGAGUCCAGAACAAACAGACACUGACUCCUCCCAUGUCUCCCAAGAGGCUGAAUACCAUGGGGUUCUCAACAUUUGAGUGAAUGAGUUUUGCAGGAUGAAGAACAGGAGACAUAAUGUCAAAAUGAUGGAAAACAUCAAAUUAACUGAAGUUUAUUGGAGGGUCCUCUCAUACCCAUGUUCAAGAAAGGCAACUGAUGUAUGUUGUCGUGAAAUGGUUCACAGCUGGAAAGGAAUUGUGCCAAAGGAUGAAACGUACCUCUGGUCUCAUCCACACUCAAGUUAGAAGAGAUUUAGAUUCUGAGAUGUCUGCCCCUGUCAACAUUGCAUCUGCCUCCUCAGGGAUCAUCUCCUCAUCUAUUCCUCCACCGCUGUUGCCUUCCUGGUCUACUGGCUGACCUUGAGAUGGGCUGAAGAAUGCCCUUGAAGUCCCACUCAGCUGCAGCCUCCCAAACAAAGUGCAAGAGCCUUCUCUCUCUCCAUCUUCUGCUUUGUCACUCGAGCAGCUUGGAGCUUCUAGUAGGAAGUGGCUUCCUGCAGAUGAACCUGGGAAGAUCUGAGGGGAGUGACCGCAGAGCACAUAUUGAUGGAGGAACUGUGGACUGGAAAAACUCACCGGGCAGGAGAGAUGGGGCUGGAAUUCUGUUCCUGGUUCUGCUGGAGAGAAAGUGUCGGUCAGAAUCACCACAGGUACCUUGUGGAUGGUAACACUUGUCCAGCAGUCAUUCCUCAGAUGUUCCCACAACAAAGAUUUCCUUCACAGACCUACCUUUCAUCCCAGGGUGACACAUUAAUGUAUAUCCUUUUACAACACAUAAAACCCACACAAUGAGCCAGCUCUAAAUAUCAGCCCAGCUUAAAUAGUUUUAAGAAAGCAUCACAGGCAGCUCUAGCCCUAUAAAUUGCUGCCAUUAGAGUUAUACAUCUGCCCCCAAUACAAUUAUCUUACAAGCCACAGUCAUUAACACUGAUGUAAACAAUAUCUACAAAUAUAUGCUUUUACUGAGAGUUAAACUACAUAACUUAUUACAAAUUUCUUUAGGGACAUUUCCUACAAGAAGAGAUGGAGUCAAAAAAGGCAGUCACUCCACCUAGAGGCCCCAUGGUGGAGGCAAUAGAGAGGACAGGUCAGAGACCGAUGUGGGAAAUGAACUGGAAGGUGUUUCCCCCAUCCUAAACAAGUAUUUCCUAGAGCAUUAUGCAGUGGGUUCUCUAUCUGGGAGUGAGAAUUCAGCAGUAAAACACAAAAACAUAGUCUAGGCCUGCAACCCCUUAAAGGAUUUUGACUCCUCCAAGACCUGCUUUUCGCAGUGUUUUUUUUUUAACUGUUGUAAAUGGAAAAAUUUCCACCUAAAAUAGCUCUAACAGAUAUCAAAUUUGUAUGCCUUGCUCCAUUACCCUGCUUCUAUCCGCCAGAAGCUGAUGAAAAAUACCAUGAACCUUAAAUAAACUCGGUAUACCAGG